rnacentral:rRNA from 1 species
CGAGGGAUUUUCGGCAAUGGGCGCAAGCCUGACCGAGCAACGCCGCGUGCGGGACGACGCCCCUCGGGGUGUAAACCGCUUUUCCCUGGGGCGAGGAUGACGGUACCAGGGGAAUCAGCCCCGGCUAACUACGUGCCAGCAGCCGCGGUAAGACGUAGGGGGCGAGCGUUGUCCGGAGUUACUGGGCGUAAAGGGCGCGCAGGCGGCCCGGCGCGCCGCGCCGUGAAAGCCCCCGGCUCAACCGGGCGGAUGCGGGCGGGACGGCCGGGCUGGAGGGUGGCAGAGGCGGGCGGAAUUCCCGGUGUAGUGGUGAAAUGCGUAGAGAUCGGGAGGAACACCCGCGGCGCAGGCGGCCCGCUGGGCCACCCCUGACGCUGAGGCGCGAAGGCCCGGGGAGCGAACGG